GCCAGCCGUUGUAGGCCGUGGCAGUGUGGCCUUUUUUCUCACUGGCCGUUGCUAUUCAUUCCUUUUGAUCAUCCAACGCCAUCUCGUUUCCGAAGCGAAACUUAUUCAGACCAGAGUCAGUACGCAGUAAUAAACAAGCAUCAAGCAGGAGCACAUGAAAGGCCAAGAAAGGCAAAGUUGCCAGCGAAAGCAUCACUUGGACUGGUUGUGAUGUUGAGCAAGGAAAACGGCGUCGCAUAAGGGUUACAGCUUUGAAACGGUGUAGUUUUAAUGCGAUAACUAUUUUGUGUCAGCGUCACACGAGGAAGAGGAACAGAAAAGCCCAGCAGCUCACGUCUGGAUCGCGCUAACCCUACCCUUUGCCGAUGUUGUAUAUUCCAAUUUGAUCCCAGGAGAAGCUAUUCGCUUGAUUUUGAUCUCAUGCAACAACAUAUUAUACAUUAUCUACGAUUACCAUCUGUUUAAGGAAUGCUUUAAAUGGCUUUGAGGAAGAUAAUGUGGCAAAAUCUUGCGGCAGAUUGCAGUAGAUGCAUUACGCAAUUCAGAUGUUAUAGCUCCCAAAUUGUCUGGAAAGAACUGCGGCCUAUGAUGCUGAAGAGAAUAGAAGAGCGACCUAAGGACUAUCCUAUACGGGACAUGGUUCCCGUUGCUCGAGAUGUCCUCAAGGCGAGAAUGCUUCUUAUUCAAGGGGUUUCCACUCUCAUCCAAGCGAUUCCCGUAGUUGCUUGCAAGUUCUGUCCAGAAGUAUAUAUUGGAGAGAAAGGUCAUUUAAUUCAGACUUGCUGGGGUUACAAUAGACGUGGCGCUAAAAAUCGGGUUCAUGAAUGGAUUACUGGUGGUUUAAAUGAUAUACUUAUCCCAGUAGAGACAUUUCGCCUGAGUAAUAUGUCCCAAAAGGUUAUUAAACAUAACCAAAGAUUCAAUUUUGAUCGCAUUCCUGCAGUUGUUGAGCUAUGCAGGCAGGCAGGUGUUGAUCUAACUACUGAGAAUUUGUACCCCAGUACAAGUACUUCCCAAUCUGGUCUCGGUGGUAUUGAUGGAGCUGUCUCUUUGUCAUCUGGGGAGCUUAACUUUGUAGCCAAUAGAACAUUGAGAGCAUGGGAGACCCUUAGAUCAGGGGUGCAAAAGUUGUUGGUUUAUCCAGCAAAAGUUUGCAAGUAUUGUUCAGAAAUUCAUGUAGGCCCAUCUGGACACAAGGAUCGCUUUUGUGGUAUAUUUAGGCAUGAGAAUUUGCAUCCAUCACACUUAUGGAGGAAGGCAAGGGUAGAUGAUCUGGUGCCUCCUAAGAUUGUUUGGCGGCAACGACCUCAAGAUCCUCCGGUUCUCUUAAAUAAGGGGCGGGAGUUUUAUGGACAUGCACCAGCAGUGGUGGAUCUGUGCACAAAGGCUGGUGUUAUUACACCACCAAAGUAUUCUUGCAUGAUGAAAGUUCAGGGGUUGUCAGCACCAGUUUGAUUUUGAAGAGCUCUACUAAGCGAAUAAGUAGGGGGCUGGGCGUCUAGGUAUUCUGUUUUGGCAGUUGGAACUCUAGGUCAUACUCAAGUCGGAAAUAAGUUACAAGCGCAAAAGCAAAGCAGAUAAUGGACGUUUCACCGCGAUGCAAGUGAUACUGGAAUGUGACAUGCAUAGCUUUUGAAUUUCUACUGUAAAUUUCGAUAUUUCUAAUUGGAAAAUCUAUUUUGAGAGGCCUUUGCAAUCUAUUCAUUUGCUGCAAAACAAUGGACAGUAAAUUCCCUUCUUGUUUUUUUUUUUUUUAUUUUUUAUUUUUUUUAUUUAUUUUUAUUUUUUUUUUAUAGCCGUAUGCUAUUCGUGGACGGCAUCAUGUGCGACUCGAGUUCGGGUCUUGGCGAAAAAUACAACCUUUUCUUCUAUGUUGUAGUCCUGGAGCAGUCAAUUCUUUGAAUUCUGCGUCCCACAACAGAAGGAAGUGGCUCUAUACCAUAACAUUUUUCAGCCACAACAACUAGUAAGUAAUAAUAGAGGCUGGAAGAACCUUGUAGUGAAGGGCAAGCAUUUAUGUGUGCAAUGGAAUAUUGAGACCUGAGGCUGGUUUCCGCAAAGCUUGAAAUCUAUUAUUGUUAUUUU